rnacentral:sRNA from 1 species
UCCGCCCACCUCCUCCCUGCCCUCCUCCCGGGGAGGAGACGCCGCUCCAGCGGGAGGCAGGAUGGUUGCUACCUGGGGCGGCCGCCAGCUCCUCCCGCAGGGCUCCGGGCCGCCCCUCGCCCCAGGGUCGCCGGCUCCUAGUGCGGCCCAGGCUUCCCGGCCGGCCCCUCCCAGACCUAGGAAGACGUCCCCCGGGCCCCCUCAGCCCUCCACCUCCCCUCUCUCCCUUUCUCCCGGCUCCUGGCAGGCUGCAGCCGUCUCCUCCUGGUGCUCCCUCCUUCCUUGAGCUCUGUCCACCGCUGCCCACUGGGGGCUACAGCUUCUCGGCUACCCUGGAAGCUGGAGGCCGGGACCAGCUCUUCAGGUGACAGGCCUCUGUGUCUCCACAGUGGGCAGAGGGGAGCCUGCCUGGCUGAUGAGCAAGGCUCGACUUUGUCACCAAGGCAGAGAAGGGGCCCGGGGUCUUCUCCGGCUCAGCCUUUGACUGAAGCUGGUCUGGAGACAGGGGCGUUAGAGAAG